rnacentral:rRNA from 1 species
CCUACGGGAGGCAGCAGUGGGGAAUAUUGGACAAUGGGCGAAAGCCUGAUCCAACCAUGCCGCGUGUGUGAAGAAGGCCUUCGGGUUGUAAAGCACUUUCAGUGGGGAAGAAAGCCUUGGGGCUAAUACCCUCGAGGAAGGACAUCACCCACAGAAGAAGCACCGGCUAACUCCGUGCCAGCAGCCGCGGUAAUACGGAGGGUGCGAGCGUUAAUCGGAAUUACUGGGCGUAAAGCGCGCGUAGGCGGUCUGAUAAGCCGGUUGUGAAAGCCCCGGGCUCAACCUGGGAACGGCAUCCGGAACUGUCAGGCUAGAGUGCAGGAGAGGAAGGUAGAAUUCCCGGUGUAGCGGUGAAAUGCGUAGAGAUCGGGAGGAAUACCAGUGGCGAAGGCGGCCUUCUGGACUGACACUGACGCUGAGGUGCGAAAGCGUGGGUAGCAAACAGGAUUAGAUACCCGGGUAGUC